UUAGAAAUACAUCAGCUUUCUCGGAGUGUUUAUCUUCUGUUUUGCCACAAGUUAGCACACAAAACAUAGCAGUGAUCUUCGUUUCGUAUGUAGGUCUGUGUGUAGAGAUAUCAAAAGAGGAAAUUCCUGUUUUUCUUAAUGGGUUGCGGUUGUAGAUAACGCGUUAUCUAUUUUAUUCGUGAAACUACAGCACUCGAAAUCAUGGAAAGACGUGAUUGUUUGAUCAAUCUGCCUCCCCUCCUCCUGUAUAUAGUGAUAUUCACAAUGUUGAGCCAGGAAUGAAACCUCCACCAUACACAGAUGUUGAGGAACAUCCUCCUUGCUAUUCUAGCCCAGAACUGACAAGCCCCAUAGUGUCAACUGAACCUAUUCAACCACAAGCUAUUACAGUACUGCCAUCAAACAAGCAGCCAGAGAAGAACCAGUCAUCUUCAUGCAUGAGGGACUUCUGUCAAUGCUGCGAGGCGACUUGUGAAAUAUUCGCUGCUAUAUGUCUUUGCUGCUGCUUUUCAUGUGAAUGUCUAGAAGGCGUCUCCUAAAGACUUCUUGAACCAGCCUUUAGAUUAACCUUAAUGACUAAGUAUAGUCGGCUACUGGUUGGUGUUUUACACCAAUUCAGCACAUGGAGCUAUAUCACUGUGAGGUUUUCUGGACCUAUAAACAGAUAACAUGCUGAAAAUUUAGAUCUGCUGGAGGUGUCCAAUUAUGACUGAUAAUCAUGACUAUAAUGAAUAAUCAGCUUCAGCUAGACAGUAAUAUAUGACUGUUUGUCAAACAGUAAUAAAUGCUAGUUAUUUUGUGUAUAGUGAUGGUCAUGACUAAAUGAGUCAUUUCCAAAUGAUGGUAAGACUUCAUACCUGCAAGGCUACCUGACUCUUCAAAACCUUUGUUAUGUCUUACCAGUGGUAGAAAACCUUUCUACCCAGAUAAAGUUAGUAAGUGGAAGGAGGUUUUUGCAGUGCUUAGAUUUUAAAACAGAAGUAAGAAAUUUGGUCUUUGUGCUGUUGUCUUUUAUCAGCCUUCAAACAACCACACACAUCAAACAGCACGCAUAUGUGUACACACACACUCUCUCGCUCUCUCCACAGUCCCUUUUGCUCAGACACUUGUUCAUCCUUUUUUCUUUUCCCACUUGACCACUUUCAACAGUGUAUUCCCGGUGAUAAUGAAACACAAACACACACAUGUAUAUAGGCAGUGUAUCCACUGUGAUAAUGAACUAUCAGAUUUUGGUUAUUGUACUUGUACUUAUUUAAAAGAUGCCCUGGUUGUUUUUAUACUGCAGUAAUAUAUUAAUAGUUUUCAUGAAAAUAAAAUGGCAGCAUUUAAAUGUCACUGAUGCAGCUUGUAUAUACUUUUAUAUUUCAUGAGCACCUAAAGAAUUCUUCUAUAAAAUGUUUUUACACUUAAAUGAUUUAAUAUUGUUAUAAGCAUCCCUCUACUGAAAUAUUACUUUCAAAUAUCUUUUAAUGUGUUACUAUUUGUAGACAUUUAUUAAUAUUUUAUUAGUAAGUUUUAAAUGCGCAAUUUAAUAUUUUGAUUUUAUCAUCAAAAUAUUUAUAUUUCAUGACAACAAUCGCUGAUAAGCAUUCGAUCACGGUAAUCAACAAUAAGCAGUCAUAUUUUGUAUCACUAGUUGCUUUAAAUGCUUUCUUCAUAAUAAAAUGUUGCAAAACA
rnacentral:lncRNA from 1 species